rnacentral:rRNA from 1 species
AACGUAGGAGACAACCGUUAUCCGGAGUUGCUGGGCGUAAAGGGCGUGUAGGUGGUUAUGUAAGUCUGGCGUGAAAUUUUUCGGCUUAACCGGGAAAGGUCGUCGGAUACUGCACAACUAGAGGACGGUAGAGGCGUGUGGAAUUCCGGGUGUAGUGGUGAAAUGCGUAGAGAUCCGGAGGAACACCAGUGGCGAAGGCGACACGCUGGGCCGUACCUGACACUGAUGCGCGACAGCAUGGGGAGCAAACAGG